rnacentral:tRNA from 1 species
GCGCGCUUAGCUCAGUUGGUAGAGCAUUCCCUUGACGUGGGAAGGGCCAGGGGUUCGAGUCCCUUAGCGCGCA